AGGCCUGGUCGUCUGCCAUGUU
rnacentral:miRNA from 1 species